rnacentral:rRNA from 1 species
AGUGACAAAGUUCAACGGCCGCGGUACCCUAACCGUGCGAAGGUAGCAUAAUCACUUGUUCUUUAAAUGAGGACUUGUAUCAACGGCACUACGAGGGCUAUGCUGUCUCCUUUUUCUAAUCAGUGAAACUGAUCUCCCCGUGAAGAAGCGGGGAUCAAAAUAUAAGACGAGAAGACCCCAUGGAGCUUUAAACUCACCACACACCUCUGUGAUGCUAUACCAUUAAACACAAGAAAUCUGUGUGCUAGUUUUAGGUUGGGGUGACCACGGAGUACAAUUUAACCUCCAUAACAAAUGGGCUAAUACCCUUAUCCACGAGACACAACUCUAAGAAUUACUAAACUAAUGCUUAUGACCCGAUAUUCGAUCAAUGAACCAAGUUACCCUGGGGAUAACAGCGCAAUCUACUUCAAGAGCCCCUAUCGACAAGUAGGUUUACGACCUCGAUGUUGGAUCAGGGUAUCCCGGUGGUGCAGCCGCUACCGAUGGUUCGUUUGUUCAACGAUUAAAACCCUACGUGA